UACGUAGGGAGCGAGCGUUGUCCGGAAUUACUGGGUGUAAAGGGUGCGUAGGCGGGACUGCAAGUCAGGCGUGAAAUACCGGAGCUUAACUCCGGGGCUGCGCUUGAAACUGUGGUUCUUGAGUGAAGUAGAGGCAGGCGGAAUUCCUAGUGUAGCGGUGAAAUGCGUAGAUAUUAGGAGGAACACCAGUGGCGAAGGCGGCCUGCUGGGCUUUAACUGACGCUGAGGCACGAAAGCAUGGGGAGCAAAC
rnacentral:rRNA from 1 species